GGACUACUGGGGUUUCUAAUCCCGUUCGCUCCCCACGCUUUCGCGUCUCAGCGUCAGGCGCGGCCCAGGAAGCCGCCUUCGCCACGGGUGUUCCUGCUGAUCUCUACGCAUUUCACCGCUACACCAGCAAUUCCACUUCCCUCUGCCGCCCUCAAGAAACGCAGUUUCCAGCGACCUUCCCCCGUUGAGCGGGGGGCUUUCACACCGGACUUUCGUUCCCGCCUACACGCGCUUUACGCCCAGUAAAUCCGGACAACGCUUGCCCCCUACGUAUUACCGCGGCUGCUGGCAC
rnacentral:rRNA from 1 species